GAUGAACGCUGGCGGCGUGCCUAAUACAUGCAAGUCGAGCGAACGGACGAGAAGCUUGCUUCUCUGAUGUUAGCGGCGGACGGGUGAGUAACACGUGGAUAACCUACCUAUAAGACUGGGAUAACUUCGGGAAACCGGAGCUAAUACCGGAUGAUAUUUUGAACCGCAUGGUUCAAAAGUGAAAGACGGUCUUGCUGUCACUUAUAGAUGGAUCAGCGCUGCAUUAGCUAGUUGGUAAGGUAACGGCUUACCAAGGCAACGAUGCAUAGCCGACCUGAGAGGGUGAUGGGCCACACUGGAACUGAGCCACGGUCCAGACUCCUACGGGAGGCAGCAGUAGGGAAUCUUCCGCAAUGGGCGAAAGCCUGACGGAGCAACGCCGCGUGAGUGAUGAAGGUCUUCGGAUCGUAAAACUCUGUUAUUAGGGAAGAACAUAUGUGUAAGUAACUGUGCACAUCUUGACGGUACCUAAUCAGAAAGCCACGGCUAACUACGUG
rnacentral:rRNA from 1 species